rnacentral:rRNA from 1 species
CCUACGGGAGGCAGCAGUGGGGAAUUUUGGACAAUGGGCGAAAGCCUGAUCCAGCAAUGCCGCGUGAGUGAAGAAGGCCUUCGGGUUGUAAAGCUCUUUUGUCAGGGAAGAAACGGUGAGAGCUAAUAUCUCUUGCUAAUGACGGUACCUGAAGAAUAAGCACCGGCUAACUACGUGCCAGCAGCCGCGGUAAUACGUAGGGUGCAAGCGUUAAUCGGAAUUACUGGGCGUAAAGCGUGCGCAGGCGGUUUUGUAAGUCUGAUGUGAAAUCCCCGGGCUCAACCUGGGAAUUGCAUUGGAGACUGCAAGGCUAGAAUCUGGCAGAGGGGGGUAGAAUUCCACGUGUAGCAGUGAAAUGCGUAGAUAUGUGGAGGAACACCGAUGGCGAAGGCAGCCCCCUGGGUCAAGAUUGACGCUCAUGCACGAAAGCGUGGGGAGCAAACAGGAUUAGAUACCCUGGUAGUCCACGCCCUAAACGAUGUCUACUAGUUGUCGGGUCUUAAUUGACUUGGUAACGCAGCUAACGCGUGAAGUAGACCGCCUGGGGAGUACGGUCGCGAAGAUUAAAACGUCAAAGGAAUUGACG